CCUACGGGUGGCAGCAGUAGGGAAUCUUGGACAAUGGGGGAAACCCUGAUCCAGCCAUGCCGCGUGAGUGAUGAAGGCCUUCGGGUUGUAAAACUCUUUCGCGCACGACGAUAAUGACGGUAGUGCGAGAAGAAGCUCCGGCUAACUUCGUGCCAGCAGCCGCGGUAAUACGAAGGGGGCUAGCGUUGUUCGGAAUUACUGGGCGUAAAGCGCGCGCAGGCGGCCUUUCAAGUCAGGGGUGAAAGCCCGGAGCUUAACUCCGGAAUUGCCUCUGAGACUGUAAGGCUUGAGUACGGGAGAGGUGAGUGGAAUUCCGAGUGUAGAGGUGAAAUUCGUAGAUAUUCGGAAGAACACCGGUGGCGAAGGCGGCUCACUGGCCCGUUACUGACGCUCAGGCGCGACAGCGUGGGGAGCAAACAGGAUUAGAUACCCUGGUAGUC
rnacentral:rRNA from 1 species